rnacentral:rRNA from 1 species
CCUACGAGUGGCAGCAGUGAGGAAUAUUGGUCAAUGGUCGGGAGACUGAACCAGCCAAGCCGCGUGAGGGAGGAAGGUACAGAGUAUCGUAAACCUCUUUUGUCAGGGAACAAAGACGGGGACGCGUCCCCGGAUGAGUGGACCUGAAGAAAAAGCAUCUGCUAACUCCGUGCCAGCAGCCGCGGUAAUCGGGAGGAUGCGAGCGUUAUCCGGAUUUAGUGGGUUAAAAGGGUUCGCGGGCGGCCUGUUAGGUCAGCGGUAAAAGCCCGGGGCUCAACCCCGGCCCGCCGUUGAAACUGGCAGUCUCGAGUUGGAGAGAAGUAUGCGGAAUGCGCGGUGUAGCGGUGAAAUGCAUAGAUAUCGCGCAGAACUCCGAUUGCGAAGGCGACCUGCUAGAACAUAACUGACGCUGAUGCGCGAAAGCGUGGGGAGCAAACAGGAUUAGAUACCCUAGUAGUC